GCCUGACUCAAACUCUGAAAGGACCGCUUGGAGCUUGGUGCGGCACGCCUUUGACAAUAGCCAUUGCUCUGCAGCUCUGCAAUCAACUGUAUUUCUGCAGACUUGAAUUUGUAGGUAAAGAAAAAUAACUCAAGAUUCCUGAAGGAACUGCUAGCAUCUCUUUCCUGGAACAAGUACUUAAACCAUGCAUCUCUGAUUCUGGAACCAGGGUUCCUUGAGGAUGGACGGGGGAGAAAGAUUCAGAACUGGGAUUUCUUUCAGAAAAAGGUAAGAUUGCCAGUCGUAGAGAUUUAAUGGGAUGUGGGUGAAACUUGAGAGCAAGUUUAAGUGCAGAAUCAAAUCAGAGAACGCUCCUUGUACAAGUUGUUAGAAUUUUAUAGGCAUCUUACCUCAUUAGAUGAAAUUCAAAUUAUUGUUAAUGAUGGUCCCUCUAGUGUUGUAAUUCUCUUCAGAAAUUGUCCUGACUCUUUAGUAAAAGAAUUCCAAUGAUCGUUCCCCAGUGUGGCAUGUUAGCUACAUGGAGGUUAAGAGGACAGAACAGGAAGCAGAAGGGACCCUUCUUUCUGGCCUUCCAGUGUUUAAGCCAGAGAGCUGACUCAGUGGACUGUGGCCUGAAGCUCUA